GAGUUUGAUCAUGGCUCAGAUUGAACGCUGGCGGCAGGCCUAACACAUGCAAGUCGAGCGGAUGAAGGGAGCUUGCUCCUGGAUUCAGCGGCGGACGGGUGAGUAAUGCCUAGGAAUCUGCCUGGUAGUGGGGGAUAACGUCCGGAAACGGGCGCUAAUACCGCAUACGUCCUGAGGGAGAAAGUGGGGAUCUUCGGACCUCACGCUAUCAGAUGAGCCUAGGUCGGAUUAGCUAGUUGGUGGGUAAAGGCCUACCAAGGCGACGAUCCGUAACUGGUCUGAGAGGAUGAUCAGUCACACUGGAACUGAGACACGGUCCAGACUCCUACGGGAGGCAGCAGUGGGGAAUAUUGGACAAUGGGCGAAAGCCUGAUCCAGCCAUGCCGCGUGUGUGAAGAAGGUCUUCGGAUUGUAAAGCACUUUAAGUUGGGAGGAAGGGCAGUAAGUUAAUACCUUGCUGUUUUGACGUUUACCAACAGAAUAAGCACCGGCUAACUUCGUGCCAGCAGCCG
rnacentral:rRNA from 1 species